GCCUACUUAGCUCAGUGGUAGAGCACUGGUCUCGUAAACCAGGGGUCGUGAGUUCGAACCUCACAGAAGGCA
rnacentral:tRNA from 1 species